rnacentral:rRNA from 1 species
UGGGGAAUCUUGCACAAUGGGGGAAACCCUGAUGCAGCGACGCCGCGUGAACGAUGAAGCCCUUCGGGGUGUAAAGUUCUUUCGACAGGAACGAUAAUGACGGUACCUGUAGAAGAAGCUGCGGCUAACUACGUGCCAGCAGCCGCGGUAAUACGUCGGCAGCGAGCGUUGUUCGGAGUUACUGGGCGUAAAGAGUGCGUAGGCGGCGAGCCAAGUUUGGUGUGAAAUCUCCCGGCUUAACCGGGAGGGUGCGCCGAAAACUGGUUGUCGGGAGUAUGGGAGAGGAAGGCGGAAUUCCUGGUGUAGCGGUGAAAUGCGUAGAUAUCAGGAGGAACACCUGCGGUGUAGACAGCUUGCUGGACCAAAACUGACGCUGAGGCACGAAAGCGUGGGUAGCAAACA